UAAAUACUCCCGAGAGACCGAUAGCGAACCAGUACCGUGAGGGAAAGGUGAAAAGCACUUCGAACAGAAGAGUGAAAUAGUUCCUGAAACCGUGCGCCUACAAGCGGUCGGAGCUCGUUAAUGAGUGACGGCGUGCCUUUUGCAUAAUGAACCUACGAGUUGCCUUUGCCGGCAAGGUUAAGUGUGACGACACACGUAUCCGAAGCGAAAGCGAGUCUGAAUAGGGCGUAUAGUCGGCAGUGGCAGACGCGAAACCAAGUGAUCUACCCUUGGCCAGGUUGAAGGCUGGGUAACACCAGCUGGAGGACCGCACCAAUAAGCGUUGAAAAGCUUCUGGAUGAGCUGAGGGUAGGGGUGAAAGGCUAAUCAAACUUGGAGAUAGCUCGUACUCCCCGAAAUGCAUUUAGGUGCAGCCUUGCGGGUUACUGAUGUGAGGUAGAGCGACUGAUAAGAUGCGAGGGCUUCACCGCCUAUCAAGUCUUGACAAACUCCGAAUGCGCAUCAGUUCUACCGCAGGAGUGAGGGCAUGGGUGCUAAGGUCCGUGCCCGAGAGGAGAAGAAUCCGGACCACCUGCUAAGGUCCCGAAAUGACAGCUAAGUUAAACUAACGAAGUCUGACUGCUAAGACAGCUAGGAUGUUGGCUUGGAAGCAGCCAUUCAUUUAAAGAGUGCGUAACAGCUCACUAGUCGAGGAGUCGGGCGUGGAUAAUAAUCGGGUAUUAAGUUGUCUACCGAAGCAGUGGGAUCAUUAAUAUGAUCGGUAGGGGAGCAUUCCAGUCAGCGUCGAAGGCGUACCGUGAGGUAUUCUGGAGCGUCUGGAAAAGCAAAUGUAGGUAUAAGUAACGAUAAAGGGGGCGGGAAACCCCCUCGCCGAAAGACUAAGGUUUCCUGAUCAACGCUAAUCGGAUCAGGGUCAGUCGGGUCCUAAGGCUCAGCCGAACGGCGAUGCCGAUGGCAGAAACGGUUAAUAUUCCGUUACUACCUUCAGGAGUGACGUGGAGACGCAGUAGUGACAGUGCCGCCAUCUGACGGAAUAGAUGGUUGAAGGGUGUAGGAGUCGAUCAUGGCAGGCAAAUCCACCAUGAGAUCCGAACCUGAUAGUAUGCCGCGUCCUUCGGGACAAGGCAAUAGUGCGCGUAAGCAUGCUGCCGAGAAAAUCCGCUAAACUUAAUCCUGUAGGUACCCGUACCGCAAACGGACACACGUAGUCGGGAUGAAUAUUCUAAGGCGCUUGAGUGAUUCACGGUUAAGGAACUAGGCAAACUGACCCUGUAACUUCGGGAUAAAGGGUCCCUACCCUUUUAUGGGAGGGCGCAGAGAAUCGGUCCAGGCAACUGUUUAACAAAAACACAGGGCUGUGCCAAAUCGAAAGAUCCAGUAUACAGCCUGACACCUGCCCGGUGCUGGAAGGUUAAGAGGAGAUGUCAUCGAUAAGAGAAGCGUUGAAUUGAAGCCCCAGUAAACGGCGGCCGUAACUAUAACGGUCCUAAGGUAGCGAAAUUCCUUGUCGGGUAAGUUC
rnacentral:rRNA from 1 species